GAUGAACGCUAGCGGCAGGCUUAAUACAUGCAAGUCGAGGGGCAGCACGGGUAGCAAUACCUGGUGGCGACCGGCAAACGGGUGCGGAACACGUACGCAACCUUCCCAUAACUGGUGAAUAGCCUUCCGAAAGGGAGAUUAAUACACCGUAACAUAACGAAAAGGCAUCUUUUUGUUAUUAUAGGCUUCGGCCGGUUUUGGAUGGGCGUGCGCCUGAUUAGGUAGUUGGCGGGGUAACGGCCCACCAAGCCUGCGAUCAGUAACUGGUGUGAGAGCACGACCAGUCACACGGGCACUGAGACACGGGCCCGACUCCUACGGGAGGCAGCAGUAAGGAAUAUUGGUCAAUGGACGAAAGUCUGAACCAGCCAUGCCGCGUGAAGGAUUAAGGCCCUCUGGGUUGUAAACUUCUUUAUCUGGGACGAAAAAGGGCUUUCUAGCUCACUUGACGGUACCAGAGGAAUAAGCACCGGCUAACUCCGUG
rnacentral:rRNA from 1 species